UACGAAGGGGGCUAGCGUUGCUCGGAAUCACUGGGCGUAAAGCGCUCGUAGGCGGAUUGUUAAGUCGGGGGUGAAAUCCUGGAGCUCAACUCCAGAACUGCCUCGAUACUGGCAAUCUUGAGUCCGGGAGAGGUGAGUGGAACUCCGAGUGUAGAGGUGAAAUUCGUAGAUAUUCGGAAGAACACCAGUGGCGAAGGCGGCUCACUGGCCCGGUACUGACGCUGAGGUGCGAAAGCGUGGGGAGCGAACAGG
rnacentral:rRNA from 1 species